AGUCGAGGGGUAUUGGUUUUCGGACCAGAGACCGGCGCACGGGUGCGUAACGCGUAUGCAAUCUACCUUUUACAGAGGGAUAGCCCAGAGAAAUUUGGAUUAAUACCUCAUAGUAUAGUACAGCCGCAUGGUUGAACUAUUAAAGUCACAACGGUAAAAGAUGAGCAUGCGUCCCAUUAGCUAGUUGGUAAGGUAACGGCUUACCAAGGCAACGAUGGGUAGGGGUCCUGAGAGGGAGAUCCCCCACACUGGUACUGAGACACGGACCAGACUCCUACGGGAGGCAGCAGUGAGGAAUAUUGGUCAAUGGGCGCAAGCCUGAACCAGCCAUGCCGCGUGCAGGAUGACGGUCCUAUGGAUUGUAAACUGCUUUUGCACAGGAAGAAACAACUCUACGUGUAGAGUCUUGACGGUACUGUGAGAAUAGGGAUCGGCUAACUCCGUGCCAGCAGCCGCGGUAAUACGGAGGAUCCAAGCGUUAUCCGGAAUCAUUGGGUUUAAAGGGUCCGUAGGCGGUUUAGUAAGUCAGUGGUGAAAGCCCAUCGCUCAACGGUGGAACGGCCAUUGAUACUGCUAAACUUGAAUUAUAAGGAAGUAACUAGAAUAUGUAGUGUAGCGGUGAAAUGCUUAGAUAUUACAUGGAAUACCAAUUGCGAAGGCAGGUUACUACUUAUGGAUUGACGCUGAUGGACGAAAGCGUGGGGAGCGAACAGGAUUAGAUACCCUGGUAGUCCACGCCGUAAACGAUGGAUACUAGCUGUUCGGAGCAAUCUGAGUGGCUA
rnacentral:rRNA from 1 species